AUUGAACGCUGGCGGCAUGCCUUACACAUGCAAGUCGAACGGCAGCGGGGGAGAAGCUUGCUUUUCCUGCCGGCGAGUGGCGAACGGGCGAGUAGUACAUCGGAACGUGCCCUGUAGUGGGGGAUAACUAGUCGAAAGAUUAGCUAAUACCGCAUACGACCUGAGGGUGAAAGUGGGGGACCGCAAGGCCUCAUGCUAUAGGAGCGGCCGAUGUCUGAUUAGCUAGUUGGUGGGGUAAAGGCCUACCAAGGCGACGGUCAGUAGCUGGUCUGAGAGGACGAUCAGCCACACUGGGACUGAGACACGGCCCAGACUCCUACGGGAGGCAGCGGUGGGGAAUUUUGGACAAUGGGCGAAAGCCUGAUCCAGCAAUGCCGCGUGUGUGAAGAAGGCCUUCGGGUCGUAAAGCACUUUUGUCCGGAAAGAAAUGGCUCUGGUUAAUACCUGGGGUCGAUGACGGUACCGGAAGAAUAAGGACCGGCUAACUACGUGCCAGCCGCCGCCGUAA
rnacentral:rRNA from 1 species